UUUGUAGAAUUCCAUAUUAUUGUUUGUGGGUUAGAUUCCAUCAUCGCCAGGCGUUGGAUGAAUGGCAUGCUGAUGGUGUUGGUUUGGAUGGGGAUAACCCUGAGCACAUCCAUUGGGUGUUUCAGAGGGCCCAGGAGAGAGCUGUUGACUACAGCAUCACAGGAGUCACAUACAGACUCACACAAGGAGUCGUGAAAAGGAUCAUCCCUGCUGUGGCGUCAACUAAUGCUGUAAGGAAACCUUUAAUGACUGUCAUUGGGUUUUAUCUUGAAGAAUCCCAAAGUAAAGUGUAACAUAUUUCACCAUUUGUGUUGCUUUGUAGCUGCCUGCUCCACUGAAGUUUUUAAAAUAGCUUCAAGGUUAGUACUAUGACUCAUCCCUUUGUCACAUGAUGGACUCACUGGAGAGUAGGUCAAUUCCAUACUAGGUAUCAUUCAUAUUACCUUUCUCUGACUUUGCAGCACUUAUAUUCCACUGAAUAAUUAUCUGGUAUUUAAUAUUGUGGACGGACUGUACACAUACACCUUUGAGACAGAGCGAAAGGUUAGUACUGUUUUUGAUGUAACCAGAUGAGUGUCCUUAAUGGAUAUAUAUUUGCCCAUUUUAAUUAGGAGAACUGUAUUAAUGUAACUGACGGUGCUAUUGACACACAAGGCUAUAUAUUUGCCCAUUUUAUUUAGGAGAACUGUAUUAAUGUAACUGACGGUGCUAUUGACACACAAGGCUAUAAGGGUAUGGCGUGGUUUCAGGCUACUUGUGCCUUCAUGCUCUUGUUUGGUCUGACAGGAGAACUGCUCAGCUUGUAGCCAGGUGCCCCAGGAUCUACAAUUCCCACCCUCUGCCAAGCUACAGGAGGUCCUGGAGUACUUGACAGAGAAUGCCUCCCUACAAAUGAAAUCCCCAGCCAUCACAGCAACCCUGGACGGGAAAAACAAGACACUGUAUUUACAGACUAUAGCUUCAAUUGAAGAAAGAACUAGACCAAACCUUUGCAAAACCUUGAAAGAACUGGGAUUGUCCGAUGGACAGGAACUAGCAGUGGCGGAUGUCACCACACCUCAGACUGUCCUCUUCAAGUUGAAACUCACCUCUUAAAGGGCUAGUGCAGUCAUAAAUGUGGUUUUCUUAUGUUUUAUCUAUUUUUCCACACUGAGGUUGGAAUAAUUCUGUGAAAUUGUGAAAAUGAUGAUAAUACCCUUUUAGUGUAAGCGUUGUUUGAAAAGAACGCCUGAAAUUUCAGGUAAUUUUGCAUGGGUGGAGUUUUGGCCUGCCUGGCGACAUUACCGGGCGGUGUUAAUAGACCAAUAACAGAGAGUUCCAAACUUCUGCCAAUAACAGCUAGUUUUCAGGUUACAUAUCCCUUCCAUUAAGCUUCUCCAAUUAGCUACCACUCCGAGACAGUCCUAAUGAAAUUAUUGCUUGAGAAAUAGCUUUUUGCCAAGAAGCUAUUUUUGUUUCUUUUUUUUACCAUUGUUUUCAAUUAAAAUCACAGUAAGGUACCUAAUUGUUACCCAGAAAUAAUUUGAUAUUGAGAUAAAACACGACUGCAUUGGACCUUUUUUUAAAUGCAGAAUCUGUCGACAUUUGACAACCUUUGGGGAGAAAGUAGCAAGUGAUACAGGGUGGCAUGGUUUUAAUAUAUUUUAGUCUGAUAAUGUAUAUAAGAUCAUUUUCUCUGUCGUAUUGGCCCAUUGUGGGAGGUAGCUGAUGGCCAUCAACCUUCUUUAUCACUAUAUGUGGAAUCAGUCUGUGAAAUUGUUUCUUAAUGUUUUACUGCUAAAUGUUUGCUCCAAACGUCUGUCUUCUUUCCCUCACUCAAAAGAGCAGUAGUUUAUAUAGGGUACCAGUCAAAAGUUUGGACACACCUAUUCAUUCCAGGGUUUUUUUCUUCUUUCUUUUCUUCUACAUUGUAGAAUAACAGUGAAGACAUCAAAACUAUGAAAUAAUACACAUGGAAUCAUGUAGUAACCAAAAAAGUGUUAAACACAUCAAAAUAUAUUUUAGGUUCUUCAAAGUAGCCACCCUUUGCCUUGAUGACAGUUUUGCAACCAGCUUCACAUGGAAUGCUUUUCCAACAGUCUUGAAGGAGUUCCAACAUAUGCUGAGCACUUCUUGGCUGCUUUUCCUUCACGCUGCGGUCCAACUCAUCGCAAACCAUCUGUUGGGUUGAGGUUGGGUGAUUGUGGAGGCUAUGUCAUCUGAUGCAGCACCCCAUCACUCUCCUUGGUCAAAGUGUGUUUGGGUCAUUGUCCUGUUGAAAAACAAAUGAUAGUCCGAAUAAGCGCAAACCAGAUGGGAUGGUGUAUCGCUGUAGAAUGCUUUGGUAGCCUUGCUGGUUAAGUUUCUUGGCCCAAGCUAGUCUCUUCUUAUUGGUGUCCUUUAGUAGUGGUUUCUUUGCAGCAAUUUGACCAUGAAGGCCGGAUUCACACAGUCUCCUUUUAACAGUUGAUGUUGAGAUGUGUGAACUCUGAAGCAUUUAUUUGGGCUGCAAUUUCUGAGGCUGGUAACUCUAAUGAAAUUAUCCUCUGCAGCAGAGGUAACUGGGUCUUCCAUUCCUGUGGCGGUCCUCAUGAGAGCCAGUUUCAUCUGCACUUGAAGAAACUUUCAAAGUUCUUGAAAUUUUUCAGAUCACUGACCUACAUGUCUUAAACUAAUGAUGGACUGUCAUUUCUCUUUGCUCAUUUGAGCUGUUCUUGCCAUAAUAUGGACUUGGUCUUUUACCAAAUAGGGCUGUCUUCUGUAUACCACCCCUACCUUGUCACGUCACAACACAACUGAUUGCCUCAAACACAUCAAGAAGGAAAGAAAUGACACAAAUUAACAUUUAACAAGGCCCACCUGUUAAUUGAAAUGCAUUCCAGAUGACUACCUCAUGAAGCUGGUUGAGAGAAUGCCAAGAGUCUGCAAAGAUUUCAUCAAGGCAAAGGGUGGCUACUUUGAAGAAUCUGAAAUAUAUUUGAAUUUGUUUACCACUUUUGGUUACUACAUGAUUCGUAAUGUUAUUUCAUAGUUUUGAUGUCUUCACUAUUAUUCUACAAUGUAGAAAAUAGGAAAAAAUAAAUGAGUAGGUGUGUCCAAAUGUUUAGCUGGUACUGUUUGUAAUUAUGACAAACUGUGCUGCAAUA